rnacentral:sRNA from 1 species
CUGCUCUGGAUCGCGAUGAUUUUAGAUCGGGCGAUCUAAAAUCAUGAAGGAAAUCGAU